rnacentral:tRNA from 1 species
GGAUCGUGGCUCAGUGGUAGAGUGCUUGCCUAGAAUGUGUGAGGCACUGGGUUCAAGUCUCAGCACCA